rnacentral:rRNA from 1 species
AUUGAACGCUGGCGGCAGGCCUAACACAUGCAAGUCGAGCGGAUGAAGGGAGCUUGCUCCUGGAUUCAGCGGCGGACUGGUGAGUAAUGCCUAGGAAUCUGCCUGGUAGUGGGUGAUAACGUCCGGAAACGGGCGCUAAUACCGCAUACGUCCUGAGGGAGAAAGUGGGGGAUCUUCGGACCUCACGCUAUCAGAUGAGCCUAGGUCGGAUUAGCUAGUUGGUGGGGUAAAGGCCUACCAAGGCGACGAUCCGUAACUGGUCUGAGAGGAUGAUCAGUCACACUGGAACUGAGACACGGUCCAGACUCCUACGGGAGGCAGCAGUGGGGAAUAUUGGACAAUGGGCGAAAGCCUGAUCCAGCCAUGCCGCGUGUGUGAAGAAGGUCUUCGGAUUGUAAAGCCCUUUAAGUUGGGAGGAAGGGCAGUAAGUUAAUACCUUGCUGUUUUGACGUUACCAACAGAAUAAGCACCGGCUAACUUCGUG